rnacentral:rRNA from 1 species
AGAGUUUGAUCCUGGCUCAGAACGAACGCUGGCGGCAUGCCUAACACAUGCAAGUCGAACGAACCCUUCGGGGUUAGUGGCGCACGGGUGCGUAACGCGUGGGAAUCUGCCCUUUGCUUCGGAAUAACAGUUAGAAAUGACUGCUAAUACCGGAUGAUGUCUUCGGACCAAAGAUUUAUCGGCAAGGGAUGAGCCCGCGUAGGAUUAGGUAGUUGGUGGGGUAAAGGCCUACCAAGCCGACGAUCCUUAGCUGGUCUGAGAGGAUGAUCAGCCACACUGGGACUGAGACACGGCCCAGACUCCUACGGGAGGCAGCAGUGGGGAAUAUUGGACAAUGGGCGCAAGCCUGAUCCAG